rnacentral:rRNA from 1 species
GAUAAAACCUAAAGGCGCAUUGAAAGAGAAAAUCGACCUCGCGUCGAUCGAGGGAGGAUGAGCGGCGUUUAAUCGCGUCGCUCCGCACUCCCGGGGCGUCUCGUUGUCAUUGCGACAUGAGGCGCACCUAGAGCGUACACGUUGGGACCCGAAAGAUGGUGAACUAUGCCUGGUCAGGAUGAAGUCAGGGGAAACUCUGAUGGAGGUCCGUAGCGAUUCUGACGUGCAAAUCGAUCGUCGGAACUGGGUA